GACGAACGCUGGCGGCGUGCCUAAUACAUGCAAGUAGAACGCUGAAGGAGGAGCUUGCUUCUCUGGAUGAGUUGCGAACGGGUGAGUAACGCGUAGGUAACCUGCCUGGUAGCGGGGGAUAACUAUUGGAAACGAUAGCUAAUACCGCAUAAGAGUAGAUGUUGCAUGACAUUUGCUUAAAAGUUGCAAUUGCAUCACUACCAGAUGGACCUGCGUUGUAUUAGCUAGUUGGUGGGGUAACGGCUCACCAAGGCGACGAUACAUAGCCGACCUGAGAGGGUGAGCGGCCACACUGGGACUGAGACACGGCCCAGACUCCUACGGGAGGCAGCAGUAGGGAAUCUUCGGCAAUGGACGGAAGUCUGACCGAGCAACGCCGCGUGAGGGAAGAAGGUUUUCGGAUCGUAAAGCUCUGUUGUAAGAGAAGAACGAGUGUGAGAGUGGAAAGUUCACACUGUGACGGUAUCUUACCAGAAAGGGACGGCUAACUACGUG
rnacentral:rRNA from 1 species